rnacentral:lncRNA from 1 species
UUAAAACUUCAUGAGCUAAACAUUAAAGACUUAAUUCAAGAUGAAAAUGGCUCUCGUCUUGUUUCUUCAGCAGUGUUGUUGUGAUAUUCUCCAAGGAGAGUGACAAGUCCCUUAUCAGCCUUUCGGUUCCCGGGCUCACGUUCCUCUGACCUUCUUCUUACUUCUAGAAAUAAGCAGUGAAACAAAACAGCAGCCAAAAGGUCCUGGCAGAGGCUUCUGAAGACAGAAACUGUACAGUAGGUGUGGCGUGCCUCUCCUCUGGGUAAUAACACUGCAAGGCAGUUCAUCCUGGAAACAUCCUAGUCAGCCAGAGGCUGCUGGACCUGCCUGUCUCACAGCUCGGAGCCGUACCUGACGCAGCAUUCCAGGGCUGUGCUGCACUGGGGUUGUCCAGCCCCAAGCUCCCCCAGAGCCUUUCCUUUGGGAACAGCCUGCCAAAUCAAAGCUACCCCUAUUUGUAGUUAGCAGUGUGAGAUUUUUUGAAGAAAUGGAGCAG